rnacentral:lncRNA from 1 species
UUAGAACGCAGAGCCCAGGCAUGACAAUGGACUGUGCAGUUGAUUGGGUACUGAGGUCUAAGGUGAGUGCUCGAUGCGGUGGGAAAAAAGACAUUCACUCAGCCCGACACAUGUUCGAUCCCACUCUUUUUCCCAGAUCUUGUUAGCAGACCCUUCCUGACACAGAAGUGCUGUGUUUGCUUUAGCAGAGUUCUUCUGCAUAUUGUGGUGCCGAGUCUCUCAGGUCAUUGGCUUAGAAGACAUCUGACAUACUGCCCCCCUUCGUUGUGGUGUGUUCCAUGUCUUUUAUCUAGUAUUUUCUGACAAAAGCUGUUAGAAAAAAGCCUCUGGGUGACUCACCUAACUUUCUCUUUUCUUCAUGGCAUUCAGCUCAUUCUGUUACACUACAGAAAUGAUCUUGUAGAAUGUAUUUUUCCAGAUUAAGCACUAUGCAUCUCUUGGUAAGGAGCUGCCUUUGGAAAUCUGGAGGAGUUUUACAUUUAUAAAACAAUGCAGGACGCUUCAGACAAUCCUGUUCUUGUUCUUUCCUUAGUGGAUUCCUACAAGUUCCAAGGCAUUUCUCAUCGAUGUAUAUUAGAAUAGUUUUUAACCUUCAUGAAAGAACCCUGAUUUCUUCCUAUGACCCACAAAACUCUGCUAUUCCAUUAAAACAAAGAAUUAGAAAAAUUAUGAAAAACAGCCUGAAGCUGCUUUCUUUGUUCUUAACCAACUGCGCUUCUGUUGAGAAUUUCAAAUGGAAUUUUUUCCUAUGUCAGGUACAUGAGAUUGGAUUGUUUCCAUUUUGAAAAGUUACAUAGUCUUCAUUACUUGUCUGCCUGUAUUUCUAAAUAUGUUAGGCAAUGUGUUGUAUAAGCUAAGCUGUGUUGUAUAGUAUAUGAUAUUAAUAAUUUAAAUUCAAAUCUCCGGCUUUCUUUCUCAUAUGAGGGCUGACUUCUGAGUAGUCUACUGUUUAUUUUAGGCCAUUGGUUUUCACAGCUUGCCUUCCAUGACUUGUUUAUGCCUUCAAAAUCAGUUACAGCUGGGGAUACCCAUACAACACCAACUCAGCUGCCAGCGGGGCUCGCAGUCUUGGCUCCCUCUAAACUACAGCUUCUGGAUGCUGACCCUGGG